AUGGUGCUUGUUGAAGAAGAUAAAAUAGAGACAACAUUUAUCAUUUUAAGUAAAUGGAAUAUAUUUUUUCAUUCUUGCAGAUUAAUUAAACAGAGCUUGAUCAUCUUAACAAAAGCAGAAGAGAGACACCUUUGUCUUUCAAAGCUAAAAGCAGAAAGAUGUUUGCUGACAGUGCAGGAGGUUUUUGUACGGCCUCUUAAUGAGUUUGUAUCACUGUGGUGGACUUUUGGUGGAGGAACCAAACUCAUCGUUCACUCCGGCCCCAAGGUCAGACCCUCAGUCUCUCUGCUGCCCCCCUCCUCUGAGCAGCUCUCUGGGGGCUCGGCCACGCUGGUCUGCCUGCUGAGUGGCUACUCUCCUCAGGGAGCCGUUGUGAGCUGGGAGGUGGACGGUACCGAGGUGACAGAAGGGGUCCUGACCAGCUCAGAGGAGGAGAAGAGCGGACGUUACAGCAGCAGCAGCACCUUAAGCAUGAGUGAGGAGAACUGGAUGAAAGGAGAGCUGUACUCCUGCAGGGUCCUCCAUCAUGACCACAGCGAGACCCAGACCAUCCAAAGGAGCCACUGUGAGGGACAGAGAGGCUGAUCGAAGCCCUGGACAGGAGCUCUUAGUGGAGAGCAGGAGGAAAACACCUGCUGCUCUCAUCAAUAUGAGUUUGAAUGUCAGGAAGAGAAACUAAAGCUUUGUGUGACGCUGAACAACACUGCUGCAAAACGUUCAUGAAUAACUUCAACUCAUGUGUGGAGCUCAGCAGCUGGAUGUGAGUGAGAUUAAUCUGCUGUGUGCUCUAAUAAAGCUUGCUCUGAUACAUUA